CACAGAAGCCUGGUUCUCGGGUGACGAGUGGCGGACGGGUGAGUAAUGUCUGGGGAUCUGCCCGAUAGAGGGGGAUAACCACUGGAAACGGUGGCUAAUACCGCAUAACGUCGCAAGACCAAAGAGGGGGACCUUCGGGCCUCUCACUAUCGGAUGAACCCAGAUGGGAUUAGCUAGUAGGCGGGGUAAUGGCCCACCUAGGCGACGAUCCCUAGCUGGUCUGAGAGGAUGACCAGCCACACUGGAACUGAGACACGGUCCACGA
rnacentral:rRNA from 1 species